AUUGAACGCUGGCGGCAGGCCUAACACAUGCAAGUCGAGCGCGCGGCGGACGGGUGUGUAAUGUAUGGGGAUCUGUCCGUUAGGGAGGGAUAACAACUGGGAACGGUGUCUAUAACCGCAUACUGUAGGAUGAGUCCAUAUGGGGUUGGCUCGUAGGUAUGGUAAAGGCUUACCUAGGCGACGAUCCCUUGCUGUUCUGAGAGGAUGAUCAGCCACACUGGAACUGAGACACGGUCCAGACGCCUACGGGAGGCAGCAGUGGGGAAUAUUGCACAAUGGGAGCAAGCCUGAUGCAGCAAUGCCGCGUGUAUGAAGAAGGCCCUAGGGUUGUAAAGUACGUUCAGUGGGGAGGCGUUACCGGCAGAAGAAGCACCGGCUAACUCCGUGCCAGCAGCCGCGGUAAUAC
rnacentral:rRNA from 1 species